UAGCCGUUAGCUCAGUUGGUAGAGCAGUUGACUUUUAAUCAAUUGGUCGCAGGUUCGAAUCCUGCACGACCCACCA
rnacentral:tRNA from 1 species